rnacentral:rRNA from 1 species
AUCACGUUGAAAUACCGGUUCCCGUACGAUCACCGAAGUUAAGCAACAUCGAGCCUGGUCAGUACCUAGAUGGGUGACCAUUUGGGGAUACUAGGUGCUGUAA